rnacentral:rRNA from 1 species
AGCAGUAGCCACGGGAAUACGUAGGGAGCAAGCGUUGUUCGGAUUUACUGGGCGUAAAGGGCGCGUAGGCGGCGCGGUAAGUCACUUGUGAAAUCUCUGAGCUUAACUCAGAACGGCCAAGUGAUACUGCUGUGCUAGAGUGCGGAAGAGGCAACCGGAAUUCUUGGUGUAGCGGUGAAAUGCGUAGAUAUCAAGAGGAACACCUGAGGCGAAGGCGGGUUGCUGGGCCGACACUGACGCUGAUGCGCGAAAGCCAGGGGAGCAAACGGGAUUAGAUACCCGCGUAGUCCCUGUCUCUUAUAC